GACAGAGGGUGCAAACGUUGUUCGGAAUUACUGGGCGUAAAGCGAGUGUAGGCGGUCUUAUAAGUCGGGUGUGAAAGCCCCGGGCUCAACCCGGGAAGUGCACCCGAAACUGUGAGGCUAGAGUAUCGGAGAGGUUGGUGGAAUUCUCGGUGUAGAGGUGAAAUUCGUAGAUAUCGAGAGGAACACCGGUGGCGAAGGCGGAUCUCUGGGCCAUUACUGACGCUGAGGAGCGAAAGCGUGGGGAGCGAACAGG
rnacentral:rRNA from 1 species